CAGUACAAACUGAGCAGGCGAUGCCCGAUAGGGCGUGGGGCCGGGCCGACCAGCAAUCGGCAGCAGAUAGCUAACAAGCAUAUCUGUGGGACAGU
rnacentral:ncRNA from 1 species